AUGGGUGUAAGCCAACAGAACAAUCCUAUUUUUCUUCAUCCAGUAAUUGAAUCAGGGGUGGUACAACCAGAGUGGACAAAAUACAAAUACAUUCUUUCCCUCACUAUGAAGGGAGAAGCCUUAGAUCCAGUUGCCUGCUGCUCACGGCAUCUGAAAAUUCACAAGGGAAGUCACUCUGAGGAUAAAGCUGACACACACACAAGAAGGCAGAGCUGUGAGAACAACAGACGACUUGAGCCAGGGGAAAAGUGGGUCCCCAAGAAAAAAAUCAAGGCUGUCUCUCCCAAGGAUGUUGUGGCGCCGUGGCUUCCCUUUGGCAGGGGAAGACGUGACGCUGAGCUAAAGAGAGGCGUGGAGGAGUACUCAGAGGCUCGGUGGACUCAGAAGGUGGAUUGCUGCUGAGGAUUCUGCUGAGUUGUUAAAUCUAGGUUCCCUGACCCCUUACUCACCAAGAAACAGCCACCUGACCCAAGCUGGAACAAUGUUCACUCCCUGGAGUGAAGAAAGAAGGUGGAAAGAUGGAGAAAUAGUGGAAGAGCAUUCAUUCUGGGCAGGGCGUUGACAACAUUGUUGAAUGUUCUAGCCCUACCCAUCCCUACAGGACCCAUUUUUACCAAUUUCUGAGAUUUCUGGUCCAUCCUGAGAGAAGACAGAAAUCCUCCCAAUAAAUUCCAACCAUUAAACAAUGAACAGACAACAAACAUCGCUUUGGUGAGAUAUGGGGAGUUGAAGACUGAAAGCAGGGAGACCAGUUAGUGGCCAUUGCAAUAAACCAGGUGAGUAUGGCAAGAGACUGAACUCCACUACUGGAGAGAUGGGUGAAGGGAAGACAGAUUCCAGAAUCAGAAGAGACAGAGCUAGCUGGGACUCGGUGACUACUGGAUGGAGAAAGCCAAGAAUAUAGAAGAGUAAGAUGAGUGGUUUUUCAGAAACAAAACAGGGCAGCUCAGCUCCCCUCAUUUCCUUUCUGUUGGUCUAGAAGUUAUGUUCUCACUUGGCCUUGAUUUUGGCAGCAUUUUCUUUCUUGCUAAGGCUAAUUUCCUAUACCUGUACCUUCCCAGCCCUGAGAUGUACACAUCACUUCCUCCUAAAAAAUUAUCUCCAUUAUCUAGGAAACUUGGCAGGGAUACCAAAUCCUCUUUUCAGCUUGUGUCCUAGAGCCCAGGAUAUAUAUUCAAGUAGAUUCUUGGAAAUAGUCCUGGAUAGCACAUAGUACUCCAACAUCAACAAGCACACUUGAAUGAUGACAGUGUGUCACAGGAUGCUCACUAAGUUUGUGAUUGCAUUUACAUGAUCAACUACAUGACCACGGCCCACGCAGUUCACACAACCUCACCACACCUUCCCUAUAGGGAUUCUCAGUGUGCACUGUGCUAUCAGCUCUGCUACGGAGGAAAGGUGCUCAAGUACUUGUGGUCAUGUGGAAAGAAUUCAGUAGCACUUGAGCAUGCAGAGCUGGACCUGAUGGAUUGUGCUCUUUACUCAAAAGGCGCACACAGGGCACAAACAGACAGCAACCUCUAUGAGUCAGAGCCCACUUGGCCUACUUGUCCUUUGCACCAUGUCUUUUGAACCAAUAAAUACAGUAACACCCAUAACUGCAAUGUUUUAUCUGAAGGAAAAUAAGCCAGUAGCAAAGUUGUGCAAGACACUGAACAAGCAUCAAGAACCAAGGACUCCACCCUCCCUCAAAAGCCCCUAAACUCUGAAUUUGGGGAGCUCACCUUUGAGAUAGAAAAAAUUGUUAAUUGAUAAUGGCUUUGGUUGAGUCGUUCUCUAGUUUCUCAUGCUAGGAGAUACUCUGGAACAUGGGUACUUAAAAAUAUAUUUUAACAAACAAAUUAGUAAUACUAGAAUGUUUCCUGGGUGAUCUUUUGAAAGAUUAAAAAAAAGUAUUGAUAUGUUCUGGCUGGGAUCAUUGGCUCACACCUGUAAUCCCAGCACUUUGGAAGGCUGAGGCAGGCAGAUCAUGAGGUCAGCAGAUUGAGACUAUUCUGGCUAAUAAGGUGAAACUCCGUCUCUACUAAAAAUGCAAAAAAUUAGCCAGGUGUGGUGGCAUGCACCUGUCGUCCCAGCUACUCAGGAGGCUGAGGCAGGAGAAUCGCUU
ensembl:lincRNA